AAUAAGUUUAUGAGAGAUAAUUGUAAGCAGACUUUAUGCUGCUUCUUGUUUAAUUUUUUGAUGUAAAUCAGUUGUUUUACAAUACUCAGUAUUGAAUACUUGGAGGUAAUUUUUAGUGUAUUUCCACUUGUUCUAGUUGGCCUAUGGUACAAGCAGGAUUAAACACGUCUAUUUUAAUGCUCCUAUUUGUGGACUGAGUCCUUGUGUUUAUGUGUUAUUGAACCUGAUUGUUUGCACUUUGUUCAUUUCUGAUGAGCAUUUGCAUAUUAUUCCAUUUCUUAAAAGGGGUAAUAUACUUAUUUAUUUGUGAUUAGAUAUAUAUGUACAGUGAGUUUAUUUUGAUGGAUGUAAUUAAUGUUUACAAUGAAAGUGAGUUAUAUGGUGACAAUAAUUCCUGAAUGUUUGAAGCCUUGUAGAUAAUCUUUAAUGUUACUGCAGGUUACAAUUAAGUAUUGAACCUUGAUACUGUGAAAUUUUGGAUAUUGAUACUUUGAACUUUGAACCUUGAUAUUUUAAUGUUGUACAACAUGACUGAACUGAUGAUAAUUGAAUUGAUGAUAGCUGAUCUGAAUAGUAGUUACUGCACUGUGACACUACUUUAGUUUAAUUUGUGAGAGUUAUUCUUAAAGUGGACGUGACAUAUAUUUGACCAUUGUUUAUAGGUCAGGUUUUUAUAUGGGACAAAUCCAAAGACCAGGUCAGUGAUUCCAGAACCCAGAGUGUUCCAGUGUUCACUGGAUGGCGAGCCAACCCAAGAUCCUAGGAGACGAUAUACAUACAUACGCACACUCAUUUGCACAUUGAUGGACUACAAUCCUCUACUGUACAAGUAGUACGGUAGGACAGACAAUCACACACACACUCCUUGUCGGACGAAUUCUAUUGCAAUACACCCGUUUGUCAUGGGCCCCACCGGUACCAUUUGGACCUAAAAAAAAGACUAAUUCUUUUACUUGUGCACAAUUUUAUUUUAUUCUAUUUUUUUGCUACUUUGGGGGAAAAUUUUAUACUUGAAGUUCUGUUAAAACCUGUUGAAAUACUGUGUUGUUUACAAAUUUCUUUUACAAGGCUUAACAUCACUAAAGUACUUUUAAGCCACACAACUGUGUUUGUCUGGUUUCUCUGCCAUUCAUAUACCAGAGCUCUAAGAGUCGUUCUUAAUCUUCUGAUACUAGCCCAAAUUACUUAUUACCUUGGUAAUUAUCCAUGUACUUCAAUCCACGUAAGUGCUACAAUGAUAUAUUGCCGUAAAACAUAGUGAAGUGGGUGACAGUGCAGAUCAGAGUGCGAGAAAAUGGCUCGUUUAUUGGAAUUAAUUAAGUUCUAUUUUAUGCUUGGAUUGAGGCAUGGGGAGAUUUUGCUGUUAUUGAGCAGUUUGGACAGUAUUGUGAUAAGCAUGCGGACACUUAGAAGAAACCUAAAACGCAUGGGACUGUACAGGAGAAAGAAUGAGUCCGAUCCGAUUGAGGUGGCAGGAUUUCUUAUUGAUCAACUGGAGGGACACGGGAGGCUCCAUGGAUAUAAACUACACCACCUGAACUGCAUUCAGGCAGGUUAUGUUGUCACGCAGAGUACUGUGAGACAUUUACUGAAAUAUCUUGACCCUUACGGUGUUGAGCAACGACGCGUGCGACGCACGUAUGUAAAUCCUGGACCAAAUUUCAUGUGGCAUGUUGACUCCUAUGACAAACUGAAGCCUUUUGGAAUCUGUAUAAAUGGAGCUAUUGAUGGCUUUUUGAGAGUUAUGAUUUGGCUUCAUGCCUAUUCAACAAACAAUGAUCCCAAAGUCAUUGCUGGCUAUUUCAUAGCAGAAGUUGAAAAGAGGAUGGGAACACCUGCUAGGAUUCGCUCUGAUUUGGGAACAGAAAACGUCAUAAUGGCGGAGAUGCAACGAUUCUUGUGAUGGACUAUGGAUCAGAACGUCAGAAACUGUUUUAUUACUGGAUCCAGCAAUCACAAUCAGCGUAUUGAAGGCUGGUGGGCCUUUCUGAGACGACAUCAUGCUCAGCACUGGAUAAAUCGUCUCCAGGAACUAAAAGACCAUGACUGCUUUUCUGGAUGUUUUUUGGACAAGCAGCUCAUAUUGUUUACGUGCCUGAACGUCAUCGAGGAAGAGCUGCAGCAAGUUGCACAUAUGUGGAACACCCACAUAAUACGCAGAAGCAGAAAUGCAGUUGCUCCAAGUGGACGUCCGAUUCUCAUGUACACCAUCCCUCAUCUCUUUUGGAGGACAGGAUCAUUUGAAAGAGGUUUCUCGGGAGGCAGUGGAUGCUUGUAAACAGAGAGGACCUUAUACCUGUGAUGAAACUUUUUUCAGCUUGUGUUGCCUUAUAAUGUCACAGGACUUCUUACUUCCACCAAGCACAGCAGAUUAAUCCAUUGAACUGUAUCUCUUCCUGAGAGCCUAUAUACCGAAGGACUUAUAAACCUAAAUAUAAUUGGGCUUUGGGAUUUUUUACGGACAUAUUUUUUGGUACAAUGUUUUAUUUGUGCAAUAAACAAUAGAAAAGACAAUUAUUAUUAUUUUGUUUGGAUUUUCGGUUCAAGAUAGUAGCAAGCAAGCAAGCAUGUCUAAAUAUAUUUAACUAAAUCUAUGUACUCCAGUGAAGAAUCAAAAUUAAACCAGGUCCUUGUAUUAGUAUUGCUUUUCUUUUUUUAAUAUUUUGACUGAGACAUUUAUGCAAAAAACAGGUGUUUGCUUCCCAUCUAAAGAAAACAUUUGACACCUGUUUAUUAAUUGAAAUUAGAACAUUGAAGUAAAUGCUUGAAUACGCAAAAUGUUUUAAAAAUAAAUCAGUAGAAAGACGUGCA